GGGAGAAGAGAGGAAAUAGGGACAGAGAAGAGAGAACAAACGGAUAGAAGGGGUUUCAUUAUCUCAACAAUAUUCAACAUAUCUCAAUUACAAGGCCAAUCCCUAUUUAUAUGCGUAACAACGUGAAACACACUCAAAAUUUGAACAUUCCAGAACCCAUAAGACAAAUUAAGCAAUCCAACCAAAAGCCAAAUCCUCCCCUAUCCCUACUUCUCUUCUGUGACCAUAUUCUGGUGUCAAUGGAGCUUGCUUGCAGACUUCAGAAACAUGGGCGACGCUAGGUACAAGCUGAUGUCGCCGACGAAGCUCUCAAUUUCGAGGUCGCCUUGCGUCACGAUUCCGAUGGGGCUCAUUUAACUAUUAUGUCAAUUGCUUUAAUCAUCACUUGUUUAUUGUGUAGUUAAUAAAAAAGGAGAAAAGCUUGUAUGUUUUGGUUCGUUCUCAAGGUGAUAGCAAUGUAACUGUUAUUGCAGCUCCAGCAAGUCUAAAGAUUGAAUUUCAAGGCAAUGGUGGUCAUGCAGGAGCUCUCCUCAUGCCUUAAUAGGUGAAUGCUAUUUUCAAAUGGAUGUUCCUUUUAUAUUGCACCCUUAUUCUUUUCUUUUGUUGCAGUGACUUCAUCUGCAACACCUUUUAAAAAAAAACUUUAUGUGCAACACCUAAUCACCUAUAUAUUCCAUGUUUAGCUUAUGCAACACCUAUAUAUUCUAUGUUUAGCUUAUCCUAGUUUGAUUUCCCAUUACCCUACGUUGAGUGACUUCUUAUGAGCAAAUACAUCUAGUUCCAUUAGAAUUGGUAAGAGUUCCAGUAUAUGAAUUUUAUGUUUUUUUUAGUAAUGAAGUUUGCUUUAAUAAAAUUCUCCAUUGUAUGUUAAAUUAAGGGUUAAUGGUCAAAUUAGUCUCUGAUUUUGUAAUCGAGUUUGAUUUUACUCCCUCGGCGGAAAAAUUACGUUUAGUGGCUGUCAUUUUUAUAAUUACUGGUUUUUUAC